rnacentral:sRNA from 1 species
AGGACACGUCGUCUUCAAUUCCAUUGAUGAAGACUUUUGAAAAAAUAUUGCCCACGGAGAAGUUACUUCCUUUCGUGUUUUAUUUUACCUCUCGCUGAAAACCCGAUCCAGCUUUCACAUAAUCCUGCCCAGCUUCGACAUUAAUCUUGUCCAGCUUCGACAUUAAUCUUGUCCAAGCUUCGACAUAAUCUUGUCCAGCUUACAACAACUAUUUUACAGAAUUUCCCUGGUUAUUAUUAUCUGCAUAUACAUACAUAUA